rnacentral:rRNA from 1 species
AUUGAACGCUGGCGGCAGGCCUAACACAUGCAAGUCGAGCGGAUGAAGGGAGCUUGCUCCUGGAUUCAGCGGCGGACGGGUGAGUAAUGCCUAGGAAUCUGCCUGGUAGUGGGGGAUAACGUCCGGAAACGGGCGCUAAUACCGCAUACGUCCUGAGGGAGAAAGUGGGGGAUCUUCGGACCUCACGCUAUCAGAUGAGCCUAGGUCGGAUCAGCUAGUUGGUGGGGUAAGGGCCUACCAAGGCGACGAUCCGUAACUGGUCUGAGAGGAUGAUCAGUCACACUGGAACUGAGACACGGUCCAGACUCCUACGGGAGGCAGCAGUGGGGAAUAUUGGACAAUGGGCGAAAGCCUGAUCCAGCCAUGCCGCGUGUGUGAAGAAGGUCUUCGGAUUGUAAAGCACUUUAAGUUGGGAGGAAGGGCAGUAAGUUAAUACCUUGCUGUUUUGACGUUACCAACAGAAUAAGCACCGGCUAACUUCGUG